GUGAAUCAUCGAAUCUUUGAACGCACAUUGCGCCCGCCAGUAUUCUGGCGGGCAUGCCUGUUCGAGCGUCAUUUCAACCCUCAAGCCCCCGGGCUUGGUGUUGGGGAUCGGCACAAGGCGCUGGCACCUCCGGGAGCCGCGCGCGCCCGCCGUCCCCCAAAUCCAGUGGCGGUUCGCGCCGUGUGUACCUCAGCGUAGUAGCAACGACUCGCUCCGGGACCCUCCUGCGAACCACGCCGUAAAACCCCCGACUUUUUUUCUGGUUGACCUCGAAUCAGGUAGGACUACCCGCUGAACUUAAGCAUAUCAAUAAGCGGAGGA
rnacentral:misc_RNA from 1 species